GACUGCGUACCUUUUGUAUAAUGGGUCAGCGACUUAUAUUCUGUAGCAAGGUUAACCGUAUAGGGGAGCCGUAGGGAAACCGAGUCUUAACCGGGCGUUAAGUUGCAGGGUAUAGACCCGAAACCCGGUGAUCUAGCCAUGGGCAGGUUGAAGGUUGGGUAACACUAACUGGAGGACCGAACCGACUAAUGUUGAAAAAUUAGCGGAUGACCUGUGGCUGGGGGUGAAAGGCCAAUCAAACCGGGAGAUAGCUGGUUCUCCCCGAAAGCUAUUUAGGUAGCGCCUCGUGAAUUCAUCUCCGGGGGUAGAGCACUGUUUCGGCUAGGGGGCCAUCCCGGCUUACCAACCCGAUGCAAACUGCGAAUACCGGAGAAUGUUAUCACGGGAGACACACGGCGGGUGCUAACGUCCGUCGUGAAGAGGGAAACAACCCAGACCGCCAGCUAAGGUCCCAAAGUCAUGGUUAAGUGGGAAACGAUGUGGGAAGGCCCAGACAGCCAGGAUGUUGGCUUAGAAGCAGCCAUCAUUUAAAGAAAGCGUAAUAGCUCACUGGUCGAGUCGGCCUGCGCGGAAGAUGUAACGGGGCUAAACCAUGCACCGAAG
rnacentral:rRNA from 1 species